GCCCUUGUAGUAUAUCUAAUACUCUGGUCUUGUAAACCAAAAAUGGAAAUCAUUUUCCCUAGGGCA
rnacentral:tRNA from 1 species